GACGAACGCUGGCGGCGUGCUUAACACAUGCAAGUCGAACGGAGAGGCCCUGCUUUUUUGGGGUGCUCGAGUGGCGAACGGGAGAGUAACACGUGAGUAACCUGCCCUUGACUUUGGGAUAACUGCAGGAAACUGGGGCUUAUACCGGAUAGGAACUCCUGCUUCGGGGUGGGGGUUGGAACGGUUCUGUGGUUGGGGAUGGACUCGCGGCUUAUCAGCUUGUUGGUGGGGUAGUGGCUCACCAAGGCCUCGACGGGUAGCCGGCCUGAGAGGGUGACCGGCCACACUGGGACUGAGACACGGCCCAGACUCCUACGGGAGGCAGCAGUGGGGAAUAUUGCACAAUGGGCGGAAGCCUGAUGCAGCGACGCCGCGUGCGGGAUGACGGCCUUCGGGUUGUAAACCGCUGUUGGCAGGGAAGAAGAGUGAGUGACGGUACCGGCUGAGAAAGCGCCGGCUAACUACGUG
rnacentral:rRNA from 1 species